UCGUAACAAGGUUUCCGUAGGUGAACCUGCGGAAGGAUCAUUACUGAUUUGCUUAAUUGCACCACAUGUGUUUUUCUUUGAAACAAACUUGCUUUGGCGGUGGGCCCAGCCUGCCGCCAGAGGUCUAAACUUACAACCAAUUUUUUAUCAACUUGUCACACCAGAUUAUUACUUAAUAGUCAAAACUUUCAACAACGGAUCUCUUGGUUCUCGCAUCGAUGAAGAACGCAGCGAAAUGCGAUACGUAAUAUGAAUUGCAGAUAUUCGUGAAUCAUCGAAUCUUUGAACGCACAUUGCGCCCUCUGGUAUUCCGGAGGGCAUGCCUGUUUGAGCGUCGUUUCUCCCUCAAACCGCUGGGUUUGGUGUUGAGCAAUACGACUUGGGUUUGCUUGAAAGACGGUAGUGGUAAGGCGGGAUCGCUUUGACAAUGGCUUAGGUCUAACCAAAAACAUUGCUUGCGGCGGUAACGUCCACCACGUAUAUCUUCAAACUUUGACCUCAAAUCAGGUAGGACUACCCGCUGAACUUAAGCAUAUCA
rnacentral:misc_RNA from 1 species